ACACAUCUCAAAGGUCAUCAGAACGUGACCCCUUAUGGGAUGUUGUUAGAUGUUCAUGUAACGUAUUGAGAAUGACCAUCUAAAUUUUAAUUAGAUUGUGUGUUUUAAUUACAUACCGAAGUAGUUACAACAUCAUAACUAUCUUAUUAUGAUGCCUAAUAUAUAAAACAAAAACAAAUGGUUUUUUUUGCAAUUUUUCAAUUUUCUUGCACUCCUUCCAACCACCUAGCAUGUGCUUUAUUCAAUGUAACCAAUAUUGCAGUCUCUUUUAUUACUUCGGUACACCCAGUUUACACCAUUGUAAAAAAAAAAAUCAAAAUAAGAAUUACUAAUACACAAUACACUUUGGCAAUAGAUCAUAACAUGCUCUGCUUGUAAACAAAUACACAUCAAAUGUGAACUCGAUAUAAAGAAAUCAUGUCAUUUGCUCGAUGAUAUAUGUAAAUCAUAACAUCCUCCAUCUCUUUGUAAACGAAAACACACCAAAAGCAAACACUGUGAAAUAAAGGAAACACCCAGUCAUGUAGGACCUUGGAUUACUGAUCUGUAUUUAGGAAGCUUGCUGGUUUUGUAUGUUUUAUGGAUGAGUACUACAAGUCAGGUGACCGGUGUUCAGUGUGGAAGAUAGAAAUACUAAAUGUUUCAUCUCUUUCUUGAUGUUGUGGCCUGACAUUUUCUGGACGUUUUCCAAAUAUACUGUGUUGACUGGGAUGAUGUUCAUUAAUUGUGUUUUUGAGCUUUGUUUUUCUUUUAUUUUAGAACAGAUGUUUUAACCAGAAAAUGUUAAAUAAUUAAGUUCUGUUUUGAAGUUUUCAUUGAAUGUUUUUGGAUGUAUGUAAAACUAUGUUAUCUUGAUACCAAGUCUAUUGCUUGGUUGUUAAAUUUUUAUCAGGUUUAUGUGAUGUUGUGUGUAAUAAGACAGCAUAUUGCCAAAUUGUUGGUUCAUCGUAAAAUUCCCAACAGCAUUUCUUGUGAAAUCUUACUGUAGAGAUCCCUUUUAAUAUCUUUAUUGAUUUCUCUGAAACAGUAUCUCAAAGUAAUGUCCGAGGACCCUUGGUUUGUGUUGGUGUGAUCAGUAUUUGUAGUCUGUAGAUGUAGAUAUUAACUGUACACCUCCAGGCAAGGUAAUGUCCGAGGACCCUUGGUUUGUGAUGGUGUGAUCAGUAUUUGUACUGAUGUAUAUAUUAACUGUACACCUCCAGACAAGGUAAUGUCCGAGGACCCUUGGUUUGUGUUGGUGUGAUCAGUAUUUGUACUGAUGUAUAUAUUAACUGUACACCUCCAGACAAGGUAAUGUCCGAGGACCCUUGGUUUGUGAUGGUGUGAUCAGUAUUUGUACUGAUGUAUAUAUUUACUGUACACCUCCAGACAAGGUAAUGUCCGAGGACCCUUGGUUUGUGAUGGUGUGAUCAGUAUUUGUAGUCUGUAGAUGUAGAUAUUAACUGUACACCUCCAGACAAGGUAAUGUCCGAGGACCCUUGGUUUGUGUUGGUGUGAUCAGUAUUUGUAGUCUGUAGAUGUAUAUAUUAACUGUACACCUCCAGGCAAGGUAAUGUCCGAGGACCCUUGGUUUGUGUUGGUGUGAUCAGUAUUUGUACUGAUGUAUAUAUUAACUGUACACCUCCAGACAAGGUAAUGUCCGAGGACCCUUGGUUUGUGUUGGUGUGAUCAGUAUUAAGUCUGUAGAUGUAUAUAUUAACUGUACACCUCCAGGCAAGGUAAUAUACGAGGGCCCUCAUGUUGUCUUAAACCAGUAAAGGAAAUGACUAAGAUAAAGUGAGGUUAAAUACACCAUUGGUAUGGAGAUAAUUUUGAAUAUUUGCCUUUUAUGUAGGGCAGUCUGACUGUGUGAUAUCUUAGUCAAACUUCCUAUCUACUUUUGUAUAUCUAAUACUUGUUGUGCAUGUGGAUAUAUAUAAUUAUUGAACACACCUGUGAUAAUAAUACAAGUUUCUUUUGUUGAUUUAACAAUGAGUAUUGCAUUGUGUGAUUACUUCUUUGUAAACCAUAGGAGUGUGCCUUAAAUGCUUAUUUCUGUUAUCAGAUUUUCUCCGUUACUUAUAUCUCAAUAAAUUAUCAUAAUUUA